rnacentral:rRNA from 1 species
AUUGAACGCUGGCGGCAGGCCUAACACAUGCAAGUCGAACGAGUGGCGGACGGGUGAGUAAUGUCUGGGAAACUGCCCGAUGGAGGGGGAUAACUACUGGAAACGGUAGCUAAUACCGCAUACCAUCGGAUGUGCCCAGAUUGGAUUAGCUAGUAGGUGGGGUAACGGCUCACCUAGGCGACGAUCUCUAGCUGGUCUGAGAGGAUGACCAGCCACACGGGAACUGAGACACGGUCCAGAACCCUACGGGAGGCAGCAGUGGGGAAUAUUGCACAAUGGGCGCAAGCCUGAUGCAGCCAUGCCGCGUGUAUGAAGAAGGCCUUCGGGUUGUAAAGUACUUUCAGCGGGGAGGCGUUACUCGCAGAAGAAGCACCGGCUAACUCCGUGCCAGCAGCCGCGGUAAUAC